AUUGAACGCUGGCGGCAGGCCUAACACAUGCAAGUCGGGCGGAUGAAGGGAGCUUGCUCCUGGAUUCAGCGGCGGACGGGUGAGUAAUGCCUAGGAAUCUGCCUGGUAGUGGGGGAUAACGUCCGGAAACGGGCGCUAAUACCGCAUACGUCCUGAGGGAGAACGUGGGGGAUCUUCGGACCUCACGCUAUCAGAUGAGCCUAGGUCGGAUUAGCUAGUGGGUGGGGUAAAGGCCUACCAAGGCGACGAUCCGUAACUGGUCUGAGAGGAUGAUCAGUCACACUGGGACUGAGACACGGGCCAGACUCCUACGGGAGGCAGCAGUGGAGAAUAUUGGACGAUGGGCGAGAGCGUGAGCCGGCCAUGCCGCGUGUGAGAAGAAGGGCUUCGGGUUGUGAAGCACGUUAAGUUGGGAGGAAGGGCAGUAAGUUAAUACCUUGCUGUUUUGACGUGACCAACAGAAUAAGCACCGGCUAACUUCGUGC
rnacentral:rRNA from 1 species